CAGUCGCCGCGGGAAUACGUAGGGUGCGAGCGUUAAUCGGAAUUACUGGGCGUAAAGCGUGCGCAGGCGGUUUUGUAAGACAGGCGUGAAAUCCCCGGGCUCAACCUGGGAAUGGCGCUUGUGACUGCAAAGCUAGAGUGCGGCAGAGGGGGAUGGAAUUCCGCGUGUAGCAGUGAAAUGCGUAGAUAUGCGGAGGAACACCGAUGGCGAAGGCAAUCCCCUGGGCCUGCACUGACGCUCAUGCACGAAAGCGUGGGGAGCAAACAGGAUUAGAUACCCGUGUAGUCCCUGUCUCUUAUAC
rnacentral:rRNA from 1 species